GGGUCUGUAGCUCAUUGGUAGAGCAUUUGCUUAGCAUGCAUGAAGCUGGGGGUUCCAUCCCCAGCACCCC
rnacentral:tRNA from 1 species